GUGCCCGUCCACCGAACGGUCUGCAGGCGAUCCGCGUCGGUCGCGCUGGGUGGUAUGGUUCCCCAGAGGCCGGUUCUUGUGCUGCCUACCCCCUUCAGGGGAAGAGUUCCAAACUCGAUGUAAGCCUCCAUCCGGCGCCCUCCAAAGGGCGCGGGAGGACAACGGAGCACCCCCCGCGUUCCACCGAGCCUCCUCGGUCGCGUGGCCCGCGGGGACGUGCGAUGCUCUCGGACCCAGCGAACGCCGUGGGCGAGGACUCACGUCCCGGUCCCAAGUGAAGCAAACGGUAUAACGCACGACGGCCGCUCCCGCCCCCCGACCGCCCCGGCGGCGCGGGGGCGAAGGCGCGGCGUCGCUGAGGAAUGCU
rnacentral:misc_RNA from 1 species